CUGAAUGGGAACGAAGCUCUGCUAGGUGGCAGCACUGAAAUGACAUGCAAGCCUCUCGAAACCGGUAUGAGAAUUGACUCCUCCUUCCUCUCUGGUUUUCACCUUUACCCUGCGCCGAGGAGGAGCACCCUGCCCAGACUGGACGUAACGUGGGGGCCUGGUUAGUCCCCGGAGAUCCGUACAAAAUACGACCCGGCAGCGCACCGAGCCUGGGGCGUUCGUGCUUUCCACGUGGCCGCAGGAAGGCGCGGCCGGGCGCGUGAAACAGGAAGCGCUUGUGUGCUGGCGCGCGAGGGAAGCCGCGGCAGGACAGGGACAGUCGUUGCCCCGUGGCCCUUGCCAGACUCGGGGAAUGGUUUAAUGGGAGUUUCAUGUCCCCAGUCCUGCCCACAGCGCACAAUGAAGGAGUGUCAGCAACUUAUAAGACUUAUAGGAGUGGCACCUGCCUUGCUGGCUGGAGGUGGUAUACUGCUGUGACCAUUGACAAGAAGCCCUGAGAUAACAGAGGAAGAUAAUUAGCAAUGGAUUUGUGCAACUUCUGAUUCCAAUGGCAGCCACAGGGGUGGUGCACACGAGUAACUCCACCGUUUUACAAGAUGAAUUGUUUCUG
rnacentral:lncRNA from 1 species